ACGGUCCCCGCAAGGGGCGAACAGGGAAUGCGGUGAGGACGGCGGCGACGCCAUCCGAUUCCGCGGCUGCCCCCGCAACUGUGAGCGGGUAGCCUCGCACCCGAAGGCCACUGGCCGCCACGGCGGUCGGGAAGGCGGUGCGAGGCGCCGAUCCGCGAGCCAGGAGACCUGCCGUCGCA
rnacentral:ncRNA from 1 species